GAUGAAGAACGUAGCAAAAUGCGAUAAGUAAUGUGAAUUGCAGAAUUCAGUGAAUCAUCGAAUCUUUGAACGCACAUUGCGCCCGCUGGUAUUCCGGCGGGCAUGCCUGUUCGAGCGUCAUUUCAACCCUCAAGCCCCCGGGUUUGGUGUUGGGGAUCGGCUCUGCCCUUCUGGGCGGUGCCGCCCCCGAAAUACAUUGGCGGUCUCGCUGCAGCCUCCAUUGCGUAGUAGCUAACACCUCGCAACUGGAACGCGGCGCGGCCAUGCCGUAAAACCCCAACUUCUGAAUGUUGACCUCGGAUCAGGUAGGAAUACCCGCUGAACUUAAGCAUAUCAAUAGCGGAGGA
rnacentral:misc_RNA from 1 species